rnacentral:rRNA from 1 species
CAAGUCGAACGCGAAAGGGGGGCAACCCCCGAGUAGAGUGGCGCACGGGUGAGUAAUACAUCGGAACGUGUCCUGUAGCGGGGGAUAACCUAGCGAAAGCUAGGCUAAUACCGCAUACGUCCUAAGGGAGAAAGUGGGGGAUCGUAAGACCUCACACUAUAGGAGCGGCCGAUGCCGGAUUAGCUAGUUGGUGGGGUAAAGGCCUACCAAGGCGACGAUCAGUAGCUGGUCUGAGAGGAUGAUCAGCCACACUGGGACUGAGACACGGCCCCAGACUCC